AUUUAAAGUAACGUACUUGGUUAAGAACAACGUAUUCCGUAAUUUUGUUCACCGUUAGAACUGUUAGAAUUUGAUCAGCCUCGGAGGAACCGGAAGCUUGUGAAUUUUCUUCAGUCUGUUGAUUCCGAGGAGUGUACGGAUUUUCAGUCUGCACAGCUGCAUGAGUGGGCGUGGAGGCACUGCAAUCAAAGGCAGCAAAUGAAUACACAGGUGACUCAAAUCAUCUGCAUAAAUGAAUAAUUCACGCUCAAGGUAUGGGUGCACAUACUUGCUUUCUCUUUGAUGCACUGCCACUCGUGGUAACUGGAUCUGUUCUUCAUAUGACAACAGCCAUAUCUGGAUGAUUUUGUCUUCAAGCGGGGGAAGGAUUUCAUGUUUGACCACCAGCACGCGCUGGCCACACAAGCACUCGAGCAGCUCCGGUGGGAAAACGAACAGCACAUCCCAUCUUUUUUUCUCGGAAAGUUAGCAACACUUUAAUCGCAGGAAUCCCUUACUAUGUGCCGUCAGCGCACGCGCGUGUGCAACUGAAAGCGCGUGUGGAAACUGCACAAACAAUUCUGAACACCACGCAAAUAAAUUAGUGAUAGAUCAAGCUUUGCAACCAG
rnacentral:lncRNA from 1 species